ACGGGUGAGUAACACGUGAGUAACCUGCCCUUGACUCUGGGAUAAGCCUGGGAAACUGGGUCUAAUACCGGAUAUGACUCCUCAUCGCAUGGUGGGGGGUGGAAAGCUUUUUGUGGUUUUGGAUGGACUCGCGGCCUAUCAGCUUGUUGGUGGGGUAAUGGCUUACCAAGGCGAUGACGGGUAGCCGGCCUGAGAGGGUGACCGGCCACACUGGGACUGAGACACGGCCCAGACUCCUACGGGAGGCAGCAGUGGGGAAUAUUGCACAAUGGGCGCAAGCCUGAUGCAGCGACGCCGCGUGAGGGAUGACGGCCUUCGGGUUGUAAACCUCUUUCAGUAGGGAAGAAGCCGCAAGGUGACGGUACCUGCAGAAGAAGCGCCGGCUAACUACGUGCCAGCAGCCGCGGUAAUACGUAGGGCGCAAGCGUUAUCCGGAAUUAUUGGGCGUAAAGAGCUCGUAGGCGGUUUGUCGCGUCUGCUGUGAAAGACCGGGGCUCAACUCCGGUUCUGCAGUGGGUACGGGCAGACUAGAGUGCAGUAGGGGAGACUGGAAUUCCUGGUGUAGCGGUGAAAUGCGCAGAUAUCAGGAGGAACACCGAUGGCGAAGGCAGGUCUCUGGGCUGUAACUGACGCUGAGGAGCGAAAGCAUGGGGAGCGAACAGGAUUAGAUACCCUGGUAGUCCAUGCCGUAAACGUUGGGCACUAGGUGUGGGGGACAUUCCACGUUUUCCGCGCCGUAGCUAACGCAUUAAGUGCCCCGCCUGGGGAGUACGGCCGCAAGGCUAAAACUCAAAGGAAUUGACGGGGGCCCGCACAAGCGGCGGAGCAUGCGGAUUAAUUCGAUGCAACGCGAAGAACCUUACCAAGGCUUGACAUGAACCGGUAAUGCCUGGAAACAGGUGCCCCGCUUGCGGUCGGUUUACAGGUGGUGCAUGGUUGUCGU
rnacentral:rRNA from 1 species